rnacentral:lncRNA from 1 species
AGAUCAGCUCCCCAUAUAGUUGUCAUGGUGAUCUCGGUAGACCGCCACUACUGCUACUCUCGAUCUUCAAAAACCGGCAUCAACGUGUGUCUCAUUUUUUUCUUCAUGUUGUUUGCAGAGAUUAAAUAAUAAUGUUGUUUGCAGAGAUUAAAUAAGUAAAACUAUGGUGAUGGUCUUGUGGUAACUAUAUGACCAAUCUGUGUGAAGUUUCACUCCAUUUGUAUGAAAGUUCAUAUGUUUGAAUCUCUACUUGCACUUCAAUGAAGGUACGGAGCUGAAGUAGAUGUCGACGUAGAGUGAGGGCGGGACUUUUCAAAUACAAAAUUCAUGAUUCAAAUAUCAACAAUCUAACCCGGUGCAACGCACGGGCACUUUUACUAGU